GAUUAAGUUAUUAAGGGCGCACGGUGGAUGCCUUGGCACUAGAAGCCGAUGAAGGACGUUACUAACGACGAUAUGCUUUGGGGAGCUGUAAGUAAGCUUUGAUCCAGAGAUUUCCGAAUGGGGAAACCCAGCACGAGUUAUGUCGUGUUAUCUGCAUGUGAAUACAUAGCAUGCAAGAAGGCAGACCCGGAGAACUGAAACAUCUUAGUACCCGGAGGAAGAGAAAGAAAAAUCGAUUCCCUGAGUAGCGGCGAGCGAAACGGGAAGAGCCCAAACCAAUAAGCUUGCUUAUUGGGGUUGUAGGACACUCUGUACGGAGUUACAAAAGAAUU
rnacentral:rRNA from 1 species